GGUAGCAGAGUGGCCAUAGCAGCUACUUGCGAACGUGUGGUCCCAAGUUCGAGUCCAGCAA
rnacentral:tRNA from 1 species